rnacentral:rRNA from 1 species
AUUGAACGCUGGCGGCACGCCUAACACAUGCAAGUCGAGCGGUAGCAGGACUAGUAGCAAUACUAGUUGCUGACGAGCGGCGGACGGGUGAGGAACACGUAGGAACCUGCCCUUCAGAGGGGGAUAACUAAGGGAAACUUUAGCUAAUACCGCAUAAUCUCUGAGGAGUAAAGCUGCCGUAAGGUGGCACUGAAGGAGGGGCCUGCGUCCGAUUAGCUAGUUGGUGGGGUAAGAGCCUACCAAGGCGAUAAUCGGUAACUGGUCUGAGAGGACGGCCAGUCACACUGGGACUGAGACACGGCCCAGACUCCUACGGGAGGCUG